UACGUAGGUGGCAAGCGUUGUCCGGAAUUAUUGGGCGUAAAGGGCUCGCAGGCGGUUUCUUAAGUCUGAUGUGAAAGCCCCCGGCUCAACCGGGGAGGGUCAUUGGAAACUGGGAAACUUGAGUGCAGAAGAGGAGAGUGGAAUUCCACGUGUAGCGGUGAAAUGCGUAGAGACCCGGAGGAACACCAGUGGCGAAGGCGGCUUCCUGGUCUGCGACUGACGCUGUGGCGCGAAAGCUAGGGGAGCAAACGGG
rnacentral:rRNA from 1 species